UCUAAUAUGGCAGAACUAAUGCAAUGGAUUUAAACCCCAUUUAUAAAGAUUAUAUCUUUUUUUAGAA
rnacentral:tRNA from 2 species